ACCAGGGAGUUGAUGAAGAUAAUUAUGCUCUUAGCCAGUUAGGAAGAAAGGAAAGCCCAUCCAGUCAAUAAAAUUAGUACGGGCUGCUACGCGUCGCUGUUGUCAAUAAGUUCUAGUAACUAUAUUCUCAAUAUUACUUUCAUAUUGAUUCUUUCCCAACUUUAUAACUUAGAAAAUUUCUGAACUUUUAUAGUUGACACAUGACACUACCAUUUUGUAUGAGG
rnacentral:lncRNA from 1 species